UACGUAGGGUGCAAGCGUUGUCCGGAAUUAUUGGGCGUAAAGAGCUCGUAGGCGGUUUGUUGCGUCGGCUGUGAAAUCCCGAGGCUCAACCUCGGGUCUGCAGUCGAUACGAGCAAACUAGAGUGUUGCAGGGGAGACUGGAAUUCCUGGUGUAGCGGUGAAAGUGCGCAGGAUAUCAGGAGGAACACCGGUGGCGAAAGGCGGGUCUCUGGGGCAACAACUGACGUGGAGGAGCGAAAGCGUGGGGAGCGAACAGG
rnacentral:rRNA from 1 species